rnacentral:rRNA from 1 species
UACGGAGGGUGCGAGCGUUGUCCGGAAUCACUGGGCGUAAAGGGCGCGUAGGCGGCCUGAUAAGUAGGGGGUGAAAUCCUGCGGCUUAACCGCAGGGCUGCCUUCUAAACUGUCAGGCUGGAGCACAGUAGAGGCAGGUGGAAUUCCCGGUGUAGCGGUGGAAUGCGUAGAGAUCGGGAAGAACAUCAGUGGCGAAGGCGGCCUGCUGGGCUGUUGCUGACGCUGAGGCGCGACAGCGUGGGGGAGCAAACAGG